UCCUCUCGCCCUCUCUUUCUUCACUGGCCUCUCAGUUUUCUCUUCAUCAUCGACAAUUCGAGAUCGCCAAGGAGACCGCCAAGGACUGGGUUAAGCUCACCGUCCAAAACCGUCAAGCCAAGGUCUCGGUGGUCCCCUCUACCGCCUCUUUGGGAUCUGCGUUUUGCUUGGAGCCGGAUCGCGACCGUAAAAUGUCAACUGCUUCAGAGAUUGAAGAAGAUUCGGUGUUCUUUUCUCCUCCAUAGCCAAGGUCCAGAUCGAUGGCCACGAUCCAGAUCUGGUGAUGUAAUUGUUUCCAUCAAUACUCUUCUCUGGGUUAUCGGGUUUCGUUUGAAAUCCGAGUAUGGUGCCAUGGUGGUUGAAGUCUGAUGAGCACGAUCUCCGCCGCCGCCGCAAGGACAUGAUCGAUGGGUAUUUCUUAUGCCUUUUACUAUUCUAAUGUGGUUUUUGUUCAUUUCUAUUUAAUUUAAGGUUUUGAUUUUCUGGGUGUUAAUAUUUUGAUUUCGAUCUUGGUUUUCAUGCAUGUUGAUGACUUGAUUGCAAUAACAAAGCAUGUUGAUGACUUGAUGGUAAUAUCUGUUUUUCUCUUGGUAUUUUACAGGAUAGUUUCUUUUCUAGUUUUUGCUGGGAUGGUGAAUUACGAUUGGACCUGGAUUGGCUUCAUACGCAAUUGACACAGUGCGCAGAAGGAUGAUGACGAUGUUUGAUAUUUAUUUUCAUAUUAUUUCACUGUCUGGGUGUUUUGAUUUAUGGUUCAAAGUUCAAACUUGAAUGACAGUGUGUGACAGUGUGUUGUUCCUGGCUUUUUUGUUAGGCAGAUGCUAUAAUUUCAAGGAUGCAAAGUAGUGAACUGGAUGGUGGUGCUAAUCAAACAAUAUUAAUUGCUGCAGGUACAGUAUGCGUUUAUAAGUAAUAUAUGUUCAUUACUUUAAAACAUUGAUGGUUUCUCUGUUCAAUAUGUUAUGUUUUAGCUGGGAUGAUGACUUAAAUCAUAUACUUUGUUAUAGCUGGGUCUCUAAUCUGCAAGCUUAGGAAUUUGAAUAACCACUAUGUAAUCUGGUCUGUUUAACAAGACAUGCUUUAACUGGUAAAAAUAUCAAAAUUAUUGAAUCAGUUUUGCGUUUUGGUGUUGUUUUCAUUUGGGGCAUGUAUUCUAUAAUUGAGAUUAUUCUCACUACCAAGUCUUACUGAUUUUGAGGCAUAAGGUGGAGUUAAGGGGUAAUUUGAGAUAAUACUAUCUGAUAUGACCAUUGAUAUGAUCUGAUAGUAGAAUAUGUAUUGAUUCCUCAGUCUGCCUGUGCCAUGUUUACAUUAAUAGGCUUGGACAUCAGACAUAUACGCUUGGAUAGUAAGUUUAAUUAUAUUAUAUAUUUCGCUGUCUGAUUAAUAUUUGGUCUACUAAUAACUAUUGUUUACCUUUGGCUUUCCAUACAGAGGUUGUGCCUAGGGAGAAUCCUCGAGUUCAUGAAUGUGCCUGGCUUGACUAGGGAGAACGUAGCUAGUCAUUUGCAGGAGCUAUGGCAGAGAUUACAAGCAUCAGUUUUGAGACAGAAGAGGGAUGCUCUUUUUUGUUUUUGUUUUUCAUGUCUUUUGCUUGUGUGGGUGGUUAUUGGUUAAUGGGUUGCUCUUUUAUUUUAUUUGUUAUAUCGAAAAGGCUCCAAUGGCCUUGAUUCCUAAUUUCCUACUUUCCGGAGUAAUUUUUGUAAGUAGAUGGACUUGAAUCUCUCGAGUCUACACCAAUGUGUUUGAUGCAUAGUAUUAUUUUUUGGUGAGGAAGGGCCCAAAAGGCUAGCAAAAAGAGAGAGAAUGAACUAUAAAAAAGACCUGGAAAAAAAAAACACAAUUAUUAAA